rnacentral:rRNA from 1 species
CCUACGGGAGGCAGCAGUGGGGCAUAUUGCACAAUGGGGGAAACCCUGAUGCAGCGACGCCGCGUUAGUGAAGCAGUAUCCCGGUAUGUAAAGCUCUAUCAGCAGGGAAGAAAAUGACGGUACCUGACUAAGAAGCCCCGUCUAACUACGUGCCAGCAGCCGCGGUAAGACGUAGGGGGCAAGCGUUAUCCGGAUUUACUGGGGGUAAAGGGGGCGUAGACGGCGCUGCAAGUCCGGAGUGAAAGCCCAUGGCUUAACCAUGGUACUGCUGUGGAAACUGUGGAGCUUGAGUGCGGGAGGGGCAGGCGGAAUUCCUAGGGUAGCGGUGAAAUGAGUAGAUAUUAGGAGGAACACCGGCGGCGAAGGCGGCCUGCUGGACCGUAACUGACGUUGAGGCUCGAAAGCGUGGGGAGCAAACAGGAUUAGAUACCCGGGGAGUC